GACGAGGGGUCCUAGCGUUGUUCGGAAUCACUGGGCGUAAAGCGUAUGUAGGCGGCCUGUUAAGUCAGUUGUGAAAUCCCAUGGCUCAACCAUGGAAUUGCAAUUUGAAACUGGCGGGCUUGAGUGCAGGAGAGGUUGGUAGAAUACCUAGUGUAGUGGUGAAAUAACGUAGAUAUUAGGUGGAAUACCGGUGGCGAAGGCGGCCAAACUGGCCUAGCACGUCGACGCUGAGAUACGAAAAGCGAUGGGGAU
rnacentral:rRNA from 1 species